rnacentral:rRNA from 1 species
GAGGAAAAGAAACCAACAGGGAUUGCCUCAGUAACGGCGAGUGAAGCGGCAAAAGCUCAAAUUUGAAAUCCUUCGGGAGUUGUAAUUUGUAGGUUGGGAGACCCCGCGGCUAGUGGCACCAAGUCCCUUGGAACAGGGCGCCUUAGAGGGUGAGAGCCCCGUAGGUACCACAAUACCGUCUUGUGUCUCCUCUCCAAAGAGUCGAGUUGUUUGGGAAUGCAGCUCAAAGUGGGUGGUAAAUUCCAUCUAAAGCUAAAUACCGGCGAGAGACCGAUAGCGAACAAGUACAGUGAUGGAAAGAUGAAAAGCACUUUGAAAAGAGAGUGAAACAGUACGUGAAAUUGUUGAAAGGGAAGGGCUUGCAAGCAGACACGGCCUUCGUGCCGGGCCAGCAUCGGUUGCUAGGGGUGGAUAAGGAACAAGGAAUGUAGCUCCUCGGAGUAUUAUAGCCUUGCGCGAUACACCCACUGGCGACCGAGGCGUGCGGUAUUCUUUACCUAGGAUGCUGGCGUAAUGGUUGCAAGCCGCCCGUCU